rnacentral:rRNA from 1 species
CACGUAGGGGGCAAGCGUUGUCCGGAUUUAUUGGGCGUAAAGAGCUCGUAGGUGGUUCGGUAAGUCGGGUGUUAAACCCCCAGGCUCAACCUGGGGACGCCACUCGAUACUGCUGUGACUAGAGUCCGGUAGGGGAGCGUGGAAUUCCUGGUGUAGCGGUGAAAUGCGUAGAUAUCUGGAGGAACACCGGUGGCGAAGGCGGCGUUCUGGACUGCAACUGACACUGAGGAACGAAAGCCAGGGGAGCAAACGGG